CUUCGCCUACGGGGCGCAGCAGUGAGGAAUAUUGGUCAAUGGGCGGAAGCCUGAACCAGCCAAGCCGCGUGAGGGAUGAAGGUACAGAGUAUCGUAAACCUCUUUUGUCAGGGAACAAAGGCGGGGACGUGUCCCCGGAUGAGUGUACCUGAAGAAAAAGCAUCGGCUAGCUCCGUGCCAGCAGCCGCGGUAAUACGGAGGAUGCGAGCGUUAUCCGGAUUUAUUGGGUUUAAAGGGUGCGCAGGCGGUCUGUUAAGUCAGCGGUCAAAGCCCGGGGCUCAACCCCGGCCCGCCGUUGAAACUGG
rnacentral:rRNA from 1 species